rnacentral:rRNA from 1 species
GACGAACGCUGGCGGCGUGCUUAACACAUGCAAGUCGAACGAAGUGGCGAACGGGUGAGUAACGCGUAAUCAACCUGCCCUUCCGAGGGGAACAAUAGUUGGAAACGACGGCUAAUCCCGCAUACUGAAGGAGUGGUUUGCGUCGGAUUGGCUAGGUGGGGGGGUAAUGGCCCACCAAGGCGAUGAUCAGUAGCCGGUCUGGGAGGAAGAACGGCCACAAUGGGACUGGGACACGGCCCAGGCCCCUACGGGAGGCAGCAGUGGGGAAACUUCCGCAAUGGACGAAAGUCUGGCGGAGCAAAGCCGCGUGAGUGAUGACGGCCUUCGGGGUGUAAAGCUCUGUUAAUCGGGACGCGGUACCGGAAUAGAAAGCAACGGCUAACUACGUGCCAGCAGCCGCGGUAAUAC